ACCCUUCCUGGAGGUCCAAGCGUCCUCCAGAAGUGGAGUUGCUCCUGUCUCUCGGUCAAGUCUGGGAGUGGCUCAGAAAGGCCUCGGGACUCGAGUCGGGGCUCCGGCAGGGCUGCGUCAGGAGGCGGGGCCCGGGGUCUCCACAGGAGGAGGCUGAGGAGGAGGCGGGCCUCGGGGUCUCCACAGGAGGAGGCUGAGGAGGAGGCGGGGCCCGGGGUCUCCACAGGAGGAGGCUGAGGAGGAGGCGGGGCCUCGGGGUCUCCACAGGAGGCGGCUGAGGAGGAGGCGGGGCCCGGGGUCUCCACAGGAGGAGGCUGAGGAGGAGGCGGGGCCCGGGGUCUCCACAGGAGGAGGCUGAGGAGGAGGCGGGGCCUCGGGGUCUCCACAGGAGGAGGCUGAGGAGGAGGCGGGGCCCGGGGUCUCCACAGGAGGAGGCUGAGGAGGAGGCGGGGCCUCGGGGUCUCCACAGGAGGAGGCUGAGGAGGAGGUGCAGCCUCGGCGUCCAUCGGACUCCAGCACCGCCCUGUGUGCCUCGGCGGUGGCUCCGAGGGUGCGGCGGGCAGCUCCCUCUGUCCACUCUGGUGUCAUCCCUGGUCGUGUGGUUCCCUCAUCGUCGCUCUCAGGCUGCAGCCAGGGUGUCGGCGGAGGCUGCGGUCCGGCCUGCUGGGACUGGAGGCCUGUCCUCCACCGGCACGUGCUGGAGGUUGAAGGUCUCAGCUUCCGCUCGCGUGGCCUCACGUGGAACUGCCUCUCAGCAUGGCGGCCUUUCACCCAACAAGUUGUUCAAGAGCCAGACAAGGCUGCCAUAACCUGUCUAAGGAGUGACCUCGUCUGUGCCCCGUCUGCUGGUCACACAGACCCACUGGGAAUAAGCGGUGAAGUGCGAGGAUGUCGGAGUCCGGCAUCUUUGUGGGACCCUUGGCGACAGGCGGUCACCCUGGGCCGCCCUUUCCUCCUCCAUUGAUGAGACAGGAGCCUCUGGGGCGUGAUGUGAACAGGGAGGUGUGUGCUCUUACCUUUCCUGUGAACCUGCUGUGGAGACAGAAGACGGAGCGCAGGUGGUGGGGAGCGUUCCUGACAGAAGAGGGUAUGAUGCUGCUUCCCUCAGGAGCAGAACAGAUUCAGAGAGAAGCAUCUACUGAGCUGCACCGUGUGCUGUCCUGAUGCCCGGCCAGGAGCCCAGACCCCCUGCAGCCACGUGGACCGACGGUGGUGAAGGCAGGAAAUGAGGGAAGCCAGGCUGCUCCCACCACGGUGAAUAGUGCGUCUUCGUUACUUCAUUUCGGAAGGAGGAAGUUAUUCCUUUGUGUCUUGAUGAAACAGAUGAUCCUUCCACUUUUGUGAGAAUGAAAUAAACAAUUCUGAGGCCAGUUGCUUUAAAAAAUCUCCUGUUUACAUAUCAGUUUCUGCCAAAGAUGUUGAAGAAGUGAGCUGCUGCUGGUGGUUGGGUCUCUCUGCCCCCACGGCCACAUUGCUUUCAUUACAGGGUUUGCACUCAUUUCCUGGGGUGAAGAAUCCCAGGGAUUUGCACUUGGGCCCAACACAAGGCACAUGUUUCUUCUUCAGAGACACCGCCUCCUGCCCCUGAAAGGGUUGGUACCUGUUGCCCACCUCUCCAGGGAGGCUCUGUGCUGCGUGCAGAGUUCCUCUAGGCACCAGCAGUCAGUGGCCCAGGAACAAAGUAGAAUGUCUGUCUUUACGGAGAAGAAUCUGCUAUUCAGAUUUGGGUUUGGAAACCAGUUUGGGUUGUUUGUCUCAGUGAUUCUGAAGUAUUUCAGAGACCACAAUCACCAUAAAAUAUGAGCUUGGGAUCUUUGUUCCUACGGAUGUAGCUUAAGACUUAUUUCUUUGUUCAUGUUCCAUGAUUUUGCGUAUCAUUUUCAAAUGGGAUAAGCACGGUAUAUAUUUUAAAAUUGCUGAUUAUUUACUUAUGUGGCUUAGAAAGCUAUCCAAGAGAGAGCUUAUUCAGCAUGACAUGGCCUCAGCCAGGAUUCCACAGUCUCAGCCAUGUGCUGACUGUGCUUUUAUUGUCUACCAACCACGCACCAAUUCAGUUUUUAAAUUAACACAUAUUUUUGUUAACAUAUUAUAUUAACAUAUAUUUACACAGUACACAUUACUAAAAAAAGCCCAGAUUAUGCUUGAUGGCUUUUAUUGUUUCUCCAAAGAACACAGCAGGACAAACUGCAGACAUAUUUCCUAAAUUAAAAUGGAAUUCUAUAGAGAAGCUACUUCACCUCACAGACAUUUAAGGCUAACAUUCUAGGACUGCUUAGACUUUAUUUAAAAAUUUACGCUUAUGUUCUAAAUAGUUUUGUGGGUGGCUUUACGAAACUAGUAUUUGUAGUUUUGUGGUUCAAUAAUUUUGUAGGUAGUGACAUUUGAAGGCCUUGGAGUAAGAAAAAAUACAUACUGGCAGGCUGGGUUAGGAAGAGGGGUGCGAAGCAUGCAAACGUGGUGAAUUAGCAGGUUAGUUGCACUCAACCCAAGAACACUGUUCUGUCUGCCUUCAGCGUGGGUUUGCAGACAUGGAUCACAAAGGACUCGUGAGCAGAAACAGCACCUCCCUCGCGUCCGUCGUGACCCACGCCCACACUGUCCUUUGGGGACGGUAGCUGCUCCCUCGGUCCACAGGAGAGGUUCCUUGAGGCCUCUGAGAAGCAGUGUGCUUGGCUGGGGAGGAAAAGCUGGUGUUCCAGGCGAAUGUCAGGAGAAGGCCUUUGUGUGUGAUAUUUGCCAUAUGUGAUGAUCUGUUUGGGAUGAUCGUUGGCUAGAAGACCCAAGCCAUGGGAUCUACCCCAGUUCCAGGCAACUUGUGCCUGUUCUUCAAGGACUGACUCGCCUUUCCUCCCGGUGCCCCGCCUGCCUGGUCAGGUCCUCCCCUGCCUGUGCCCCGUUGGCCCAGUUUGGGGCCCACCUCUGCCCCCAUGGCGUCUCUAACAGGUCUAGUCAUGGCGAGCCAUGUCUUCUGUUUUAAUUCAUUUCGGACACUGCCUUUCGCUCCUGUGCUCAACGCUCUGCAAGUGCCUCACAUGCAGCGGCUACAAGUGCUCAAAGGGGACGACUGUCUGAGGGACAGCUGCUGGUCCACAGGUAUGCCAGGCUGGUUUGUCCAGCACGCUUACCGCCUGGUAACCCAGGGCUGGUAGAGACAGUCAGACUUUGUCAAACGUCCCGAGUUGAUUGCCAACUGCUUCUGAGCAGCGAGUCCUUCUGUUGUGCUGUCCUCCUUGGAUCUGCGGUCAGUCCCUCGCCCACGACACCCCGUGACACUGCCCCUCACCUGCUCAGAUGCCGCUCAGCUCACAGAGGAAGCUGGGACCCUGUGAAAGGAGGCCCCCCCUUGUUGGGGAUGACUGGCGGGGUCAUGGCUCUUGAUUUUGGCCAAGCCCUUGGAGGUAAACAACCCUGUUCUGGGGAGGGCAUGGUGGGGUAGGGCAGUUCACAAGCCCGAUUCCCGGGUCUGCCCAGUAACUUCUCCUCCUCAUUGUGGGGUGCAGUCACAAAUCACCCAAAGCGUCACCGUGGCUUGCCCAUGGGUCAGGGGUCAGGUGUUAGUCAUCACUUCAGAGCCACACAAACAAGAGAAAACAGCUGACAAGCAUGUGAGGUCAUUUUUCUUGAGUAACCAGAUUGCAUCAGCACCAGCAGCAUCUGAGAUGUGGAAAAUUCCAGAACACUUACGGCCAUCGCCUGGGAAGCAGAGCCACCGGUCGCGUUCCCUCUUAUCCCAGUGCCCGGAGGCAUCUGCCUCCUGGAAGAUGAACUUCGUGGGCCCGGGAUGUCGGUUUAGGUAACACAGGAGUACUGAAGAGACAUCUGGUAUUACCUGUACCAAGAGCAGAGGAUGAGAUGGUUGGAUGGCAUCACCGACUUGAUGGACAUGAGUUUGAGCAAGCUCUGGGAGUUGGUGAUGGACAGGACAUGCGUACUGCAGCCCAUGGGGUCACAAAGAAUCGAAGACGGCUGAGCAACUGAACUGAUACCAAGAUCCUACCCUAGCUAUCCGAGCGUCCCGUGACACAUCUCCAAAAUAUUUAUAUGUGCAUGAUCAGGAAAUAAUGACUGCCAGUGUUUGGUUUCACAGGAGAAAGACAUUCUUAUAUUUUUUGUUUCACAAAGAAACAAAAGAAACAUAUUAUGGAUAUUCCCAGCUAGUAUUUUUACAUUUAUGUGAGCAAAUGAAAGAGCAAAUUAGAUCAUUCUGGAUAUAAUUUGUCAUUUUUUUGCACUUAAUUUUAAUUUUGCAUAAGUUUUUUCUCCAUGUGUAUUAACAUUGCCUUAUAGUUCUCUUCGUAGAGAAAAAUAAAUUAGCAUUU